rnacentral:lncRNA from 1 species
ACGUAAAAAAUAUGUAUAUGAAAAAAAAAUAUAAACUUCAAACAUCACUCCAGUAAUAUCACAUUUUUUUCAUUUUAGUAACCUGUGAUUUAAAAAUAUAUAUAUAUAUAUUUUCGUCAGCUCCUCUGUUGAUAUUUCAUUAAAUUAUAUACAAAAAACUUCAGAUACCCGAACUAAAUUUAUCGAAUAUUUACUUUAGUAUAUUUUAUUUUUAACUUUAUCAAUGAUUUAAUAAAAAAAAUUAAUAAAGAGAAUAAUAAAAAAAGAAAAAAUAAAUCACGAUGUACUAAAUUGAUAUAUUUUAAGUCACAGAAUAUUAAAAUAAAAAAAUAUGAAACCAUCGGAUUUGUAUUUGAAAUUUUU